GGUAAUGUAGCUCAAUAAUAGAGCAAUUGCUUUGCAAGCACUAGGCCUUGAGUUUGAUCUCUAACAUUGCAA
rnacentral:tRNA from 1 species